rnacentral:lncRNA from 1 species
GAAAAAAAGAGAAAGAAAGAGAAAGCAAGCAACAACAACAAAAGCAAACUAAUGACUGAAUGGCAAGCUCAAUUUCCAAUUCAGUGGAAUUUCUUUCUGAAAACAGUCCUCUUAGGAAGCAAAAUCUCCACCCCAGCAGAGCUGAAACUUGUGGAAUGAAGGGGAAAAAAUGGAGUGAGACAUUAUGUGUAAUCAUGACAGAAACUACUACUACCACUUUUACUACUUCAUUGCCAGAUGGUUACAGUCUGCACCAUAUAUCGGUUGCUAAUUCAAAGGAUAUACUUCAGUUUGUGUUGUUGGGGCUUAGAAAAUAAUAGACUAAAAUGAAGACCUCAGAACCAAAAGUUUUUCUUCGACUUUCUCCCGCCCUCCCGUCUCUGUUUCAUUCUCUUCUAAAGGCUAGCCAGAGAAACUAGAACACCUUUUCCCUAAACCUUCAGAGGGCCAAGCCAUUGACUCCUAGAAUAUGAUAAAACACUAUGCUUCAAGGAUCUUUUCUCUCAACUGACAUGCAUUGUUUGAGUCUUCAAAAGACAUGUGCUUAUUCCAACAAACCAGUUGCUUGCGGCUAAUGGGGCAUUCGGUAAGGCCUAUGAAUUUUAUGGACCAGAGCCCACUGCUUUACUAUAUAUGCUGUAAAAUCUGUUUCUUUAUCAAAAUCAAUUGUGUGUACAAUACCAUGAUGGUGAAUUAGGCAGUUAAUAAGUU